rnacentral:rRNA from 1 species
CACGUAGUUAGCCGUCCCUUUCUGGUAAGAUACCGUCACAGUGUGAACUUUUCACUCUCACACUCGUUCUUCUCUUACAACAGAGCUUUACGAUCCGAAAACCUUCUUCACUCACGCGGCGUUGCUCGGUCAGACUUCCGUCCAUUGCCGAAGAUUCCCUACUGCUGCCUCCCGUAGGAGUCUGGGCCGUGUCUCAGUCCCAGUGUGGCCGAUCACCCUCUCAGGUCGGCUAUGUAUCGUCGCCUUGGUGAGCCGUUACCUCACCAACUAGCUAAUACAACGCAGGUCCAUCUGGUAGUGAUGCAAUUGCACCUUUCAAGCAGAUAUCAUGCAAUAUCUACUGUUAUGCGGUAUUAGCUAUCGUUUCCAAUAGUUAUCCCCCGCUACCAGGCAGGUUACCUACGCGUUACUCACCCGUUCGCAACUCAUCCGGAGAAGCAAGCUCCUCCUUCAGCGUUCUACUUGCAUGUAUUAGGCACGCCGCCAGCGUUCG